GGCCGUCCGCGGUUUUUUUGUGUAGUGCUCCGCACCAUCGAGUGUUCGAAGCACCACGAGAAGCUGCAGAUGGAG
rfam:Caenorhabditis brenneri strain PB2801 C_brenneri-6.0.1_Cont9.25, whole genome shotgun sequence.